UUUCUCAAAAAAUUAAAAAUAGAACUACCAUAUGAUCUAGCAAUCUCACUACUGGGAAUUGAUCCAAAGAAAAGGAAAUUGUAUCAAUGGAACA